GGAGGUUAUAUACAGGAGGUACCGGUCCAGAGUCCAUGUGGAGGCUAUAUACAGGAGGUACCGGUCCAGAGUCCAUGUGGAGGCUAUAUACAGGAGGUACCGGUCCAGAGUCCAUGUGGAGGUUAUAUACAGGAGGUACCGGUCCAGAGUCCAUGUGGAGGUUAUAUACAGGAGGUACCGGUCCAGAGUCCAUGUGGAGGCUAUAUACAGGGGGUACCGGUCCAGAGUCAAUGUGGAGGUUAUAUACAGGAGGCUCUUAACCAACAAUGCAGUUUUAAGAAAAAUAAGUGUUAAGAAAGCAUUUACUAAAAUAACCUGAGUCCAGAGUCCAUGUGGAGGUUAUAUACAGGAGGUACCGGUCCAGAGUCCAUGUGGAGGCUAUAUACAGGAGGUACCGGUCCAGAGUCCAUGUGGAGGCUAUAUACAGGAGGUACCGGUCCAGAGUCCAUGUGGAGGCUAUAUACAGGAGGUACCGGUCCAGAGUCCAUGUGGAGGCUAUAUACAGGAGGUACCGGUCCAGAGUCCACGUG
ensembl:lncRNA